UAAAUGUAACAUAAUAAUCCAACCAUUCCUCCUAAUAAAGGAAAGUUAAACUCGACAUAAAUUUAAAGAGGGAGAAAAGACCAAUCUACAAUGUGAUAGGCUGUAUAAAUGGAGAUAUAGAACCUGACAGAUAUAUCCAAGACCCUAAGUGGAAACCCUGAUAUAGGAGAGUUAGGUAGCGGGAGCGAUUUUUUCCCUUUCAUGUAUUAUGCCGGUGUGACUUCUAUGGAUAUACGUUAUGUGUAUAAUAAGAUUUGCUACCACCUCCACUCCCCAAACAUUAUUCAAUAUUGAACUAAGAAGUCAUUUUCCGACCUCGUUGCCUAUUGAAAAUAUACCUAUAUAGAAGAUAUGAAUAUACCGAAUUAUCCUUUGUACCAUACUAGAUAUGACACUUUUACAAUGUUCACAAGCACAUAUAUCCAGAAUUUAUUUAUCACAAAGCGGCAAGUCAGUUAAUAGCUAUACUAGUUCAUUACUUGUCUGAUUCUCAAAUCGUGCCCCUAUCACCUGCCUCUUAUGGAUAUUCCUUAACGAAAUUCUAUAGAAAUAUAAUUAAAGACUUCAGCACCCUGGAAUUCAAUAGGAUAUGCAUGAAUGAUCUUAUGGCUGCCAUAACAUAUUUCGAUAGUAAGAUGACAAUUUUCCAAAUGAAUUCACUAUUACCGUCCUUCACCAACACCACUUCGUCAAAUACACAAAAUUAUUCGGUCAUACAGACUCGUUCAUUG